UACGUAGGAUCCAAGCGUUAUCCGGAAUCACUGGGCGUAAAGCGUGCGUAGGCGGCGUGUUAAGUGAGAUGCGAAAUCUUGUGGCUCAACCAUAUAGACUGUGUCUCAUACUGGCAUGCUAGAGAAUGGCAGAGGCAAGUGGAAUUACCGGUGUAGCAGUGAAAUGCGUAGAUAUCAGGAGGAAUACCGAUGGCGAAGGCAGGUCUCUGGGCUGACACUGACGCUCAUGCACGAAAGCGUGGGGAGCAAACAGG
rnacentral:rRNA from 1 species